rnacentral:rRNA from 1 species
AGAUUUAACGAAAGUGGCGAACGGGUGAGUAACACGUGAGCAACCUGCCUUACACAGGGGGAUAGCCAUUGGAAACGGUGAUUAAUACCCCAUAAGACCACAAUACCGCAUGGUAAAAGGGUAAAAGGGAUACCGGUGUAAGAUGGGCUCGCGUCUGAUUAGCUAGUUGGUGGGGUAAAGGCCUACCAAGGCGACGAUCAGUAGCCGGUCUGAGAGGAUGAACGGCCACAUUGGAACUGAGACACGGUCCAAACUCCUACGGGAGGCAGCAGCG